rnacentral:sRNA from 1 species
UAAUGGAGACAAAAUACCGCCCUGGGGCA